UACGUAGGGUGCGAGCGUUGUCCGGAAGUUAUUGGGCGUAAAGAGCUUGUAGGCGGUUUGUCGCGUCUGCUGUGAAAAUCCGGGGCUCAACCCCCGGACUUGCAGUGGGUACGGGGCAGACUUAGAGUGUGGUAGGGGAGACUGGAAUUCCUGGUGUAGCGGUGAAAUGCGCAGAUAUCAGGAGGAACACCGAGUGGCGAAGGCAGGUCUGCUGG
rnacentral:rRNA from 1 species